rnacentral:misc_RNA from 1 species
GAUGAAGAACGCAGUGAAAUGCGAUAAGUAAUGUGAAUUGCAGAAUUCAGUGAAUCAUCGAAUCUUUGAACGCACAUUGCGCCCAUUAGCAUUCUAGUGGGCAUGCCUGUUCGAGCGUCAUUUCAACCCUUAAGCCCUGUUGCUUAGCGUUGGGAGCCUACAGUACUGUAGCUCCCCAAAGUUAGUGGCGGAGUCGGUUUCACACUCUAGACGUAGUAAUUUUUUCUCGUCUGUAGUUGAGCCGGUCCCCUGCCGUAAAACACCCAAUUUAUCAAGGUUGACCUCGGAUCAGGUAGGAAUACCCGCUGAACUUAAGCAUAUCAAUAAGCGGAGA